AGGGAAAAGCUCAAAUUUAAAAUCUGGCAGUCUCUGAUUGUCCGAGUUGUAAUUUAGAGAAGUGUUACCCGCGUUGGACCGUGUAUAAGUCUCCUGGAAUGGAGCGUCAUAGAGGGUGAGAAUCCCGUCUUUGACACGGACUACCAAGGCAUUGUGGUGCGCUCUCGAA
rnacentral:rRNA from 1 species